rnacentral:rRNA from 1 species
GAUGAACGCUGGCGGCGUGCUUAACACAUGCAAGUCGAACGAUGAAGCCCAUCUUGCUGGGUGGAUUAGUGGCGAACGGGUGAGUAACACGUGAGUAACCUGCCCUUGACUCUGGGAUAAGCCUGGGAAACUGGGUCUAAUACUGGAUAUGACUUCUCAUCGCAAGGUGGGGGGUGGAAAGAUUUAUUGGUCUUGGAUGGACUCGCGGCCUAUCAGCUUGUUGGUGAGGUAAUGGCUCACCAAGGCGACGACGGGUAGCCGGCCUGAGAGGGUGACCGGCCACACUGGGACUGAGAAACGGCCCAGACUCCUACGGGAGGCAGCAGUGGGGAAUAUUGCACAAUGGGCGCAAGCCUGAUGCAGCGACGCCGCGUGAGGGAUGACGGCCUUCGGGUUGUAAACCUCUUUCAGUAGGGAAGAAGCGAGAGUGACGGUACCUGCAGAAGAAGCGCCGGCUAACUACGUG